AGUGAAAAUGGCGGCCUCCCAAUCUCCACACCAGAGGAGCCAAGAACUUGGGGCCCCCCUCCUCAGUGCAUCCCCAGAGAAAAGCAGUCAAUCACUCCCAUCUCCCCAGUCUGCGGCUGCACUCCUUGCUCACCCAGCCUGUGACUGACCCCAUGUGGAGUCUCCAAACCCAGCAGAUUCCUGCAGUGCGCUCCCGCGCUGCUCCUCCCAGGGAGGAAGGGGGAAAACAUUAAACUAAUGAACGUCGUGCCUCGUUUGUCAAGAUCUGAGUCACUGGCAUGAAGCAUCUUUCACUGUAAAUGCAAUUUGGGAGAUUCAACCAUACUUCUCCUAUCUGAAAAUACCCAAGUGACUUCAAGAGCCAUGCCUGGCUCGUGGCUAUGAGAGUGGACAGCACAAACGCAGAGGAAAAGUGAAGGCCAGUG